CGUGAAACUCCAGGCAGCUUAUGAACAAGUUUGUUAUUAUGACCGAUUAUUCCAGGACUUGUGUGGAUUAGGAAAAGAAAAAAGAAAAAAAAGAGAGGGGAGCUUUUUAGAGAAGGUUAAUUUGAACGAUGAGCAUAAUUUGCAUUCGGGGAAACUGAAUAAAACCAGAGUAAAGGUGUUACAGCAGCUUUCCGUAAUGCCGUCCCCAAACUGCAGCCUGAACAAUCUUUAUCCAGGCAUGAUUACAGGAAAUUCACUUACAGGAGCACAGCACAGAGUCUCCAUGUUCCCAGGUUGGCAUCUGCCUUCUCAUCAGCUUUGCUCUGUGAAUAAUUAGAUUCCUUCCUCAGCCUCUUUGUUGACUGUAAGGGCCUCAAGUGAAGAUACCUGCUCAGCACCCCUGUGGGGCUCCAUGGUGAGGGUUCCUUGGGGAAAGUGGAGCCUGGCUUCAGGAAGAAGGGCAGACCCAUUACCAAGCCUGUCAGGAUGAGUUAAAUCUGUCUCUGCCACCUCCUCCUCAGAACUCCUCCUCAGAACUUAGCCCCCACUGGUAGUUUAACUCAUUCUCAUCCAAUAUUUAUAACGUGUUGGAAUUUUCAGCUGAGAAGCCCUUUAGGAUAUAAAUGAGGGACUUUCCCUGGGAGAUUAGGGGGUGGGGAUGGGGGCACAGGCCUCUUGCUGAGCAGUGUGCCCAGCCCUCAACCCUCAGAGGGCGCAGCCCUGUAGUCCCUCACCCCACAGGCCCCACCGAUGUCUUGUAUCUCAGGGCAGCAUUUACAGAGUCAGCUAACUCCCCUUUUCUUACCUCCUUCCUUCCUCUCCUUCUUGACAAUGCUUCUCCCUUCGUAAAUGGGCUGAGGUUUGUUUUGAAAAAUGUUUAUCAAUACCGUUGUGUGCCAGGUACUAUGCAAAAGACUGUAUAUGGAUUAUCUCGUUACUGUUCAAAGCAACCGUCUACCGUAGUUACUAUCAUUAACCCACUGUAGAAGUCAGGAGACAGGUUUCCAGUGGUUAAAUAAUUCACAGAAGUCACCCAAGUGGUAGAGCCAGGGACAUACUCCCAGCCCCAGAAUCUGAGCCUUUAACCUUUAGCCGAGGCUUUCAUAGAAAGGACACCACAUAUCACCUGUCAUCUCGCUGCUCACGGGUAACCCGUAUUAACGCGUCAGAGUACAUCUUUUCACAUAUGUAGCAUUAGGUUAUCCUUGAAUGAAAACGACAUAAUACAGGAGCUUUUGGUUUUGCAGACUGCUGCUUUUCACUUAGCACUCUAUUCUCAUCGUUCUACCCAGGUCAGUGGCUCUCUGCCCUCAACAUGAGUUUGGAGAAUAACUGGUAUUCAUUCCCUCUUGUGGAUAUCCCAUUGUUUUAUCACCCCAUCUGUUUCUAAUUUCAGGAACGGUGCCUACCAUAUACAUAUUUGCACAUCAUCUUUGUGAACCUAAACUCUGAGCAGCCGCCGGGGCUGAGGAUGACAGGCCUGGAGAAUACUGGGUUGGCUGAAGCUAGACCACAUCCCAGCAUUAUGGAGUGGAUGAAGAACUUCAAACUCCUCAGCAAAACCACACAUGCUCUUCUAGGAGCUUAUUAAAAGAACAGAAAUGCACACGGAAGUAUUUUGGAUUAGAUCAACCCUUCAAAUGCCAUUUUACUGUUUUCUAUCAGAAGAAUGGUACUAUGCAAAUUUCGAUGGAAAUUAGCAUUUCUAUAGCAUUUCAUAUUUUCAAAAUGCUUGUACCAGCAUCUACUAAUUAGCAUAACAGUUGAGAACCAUCAUUGGCUUUAAACAUAGAGAAAUUCCUUUUUAAUACAGUUUUCUUAAUACAGAGAAAGUCAUGCCCUCCCCUCUCCAGGUCUUUAUCAUGUCAGACAAAAUUGUUCAGCCUCUUCUAAAUCUUCUAAUUUUAAAUAUAGCAACUUACCACGAUGCCUAGUCUCUUCCACAGAAAAAAAACAGAAUAAGAAAUUCAAGACUUAAAUGGAAAUCUGGAAAAUCUGAAAGUCACGCUACGUGAUGCUUCCCAUAGCCAAAGCUUGGGGCAUUUAUCAAACAAACACUGGCCUACAUGUGCCAGGCAUCCAGUCUCCAUCUUGCCCUCAGUGGGAGUGAAGUCUAGAAGUAGAAAUGGGCCUGGCAGUGUGGUGAAUAUCCUGAGAGACAAUGGGAAUGGUCAUGGCUCAGACCGGAGGCCUAUGGGAUACACCUUUGGGGAAACCCCGAUGAAACAUUUGGAGUCUCUUUUCUAUGCUGUCAUUUAAAUUCUAGAUUGUCUUCUUAACCAAGACUGUUUCUCACCUAAGCUGUUGUUUACUUAAUUAUAUUCAACUAAAAUGUAAUUGUCAUUAUUUUUUUAACCUAGCUAUGCUUUAAGCACUUAACAACCAUAAAAUAAUGGGUCCAACGUGCUAGUUAUCUUAUCCUGACAUUAAUCCUGUAUAUUAAAAGAAUACAUUUAAAAAAACCCAGAAAGACCUAAAGUCAUCUAAUACACCAUCAAUGGCCUAAGAGCCCUGUUGGGGCACAUUACUACAGGUGAUGGCCAGCCACCAACAAAUGUUAGGGCAAGGCAAGGCAGGGGGAAUUUGCUCAUUUUUAGGAGCAUCAUUCCAUUAAAUUAAUUAUCCCAAGAGGCCAUUAGACUGAGGUGGCUUUAAUGCCUUAGCAGUCUAUGCCAGCAAACCCAAACCCAAGCCUGCAAAUGCCUCAUGUUUAAGAAACUGAAACCUGAGGUCAGCGAAACACCAAUAGCCAAGUAGGCUUUAAGCUACAGCCAAUCAAAUAAUUUCCUUUCUUUGCUUUGGCACCUUCUCCAUACAAGUCUCGGCUCCUGUCUAUACAGCACUGCUAACCACUUCUAGGUCUCCCCUGUCUGAUUCAAAAGAAGUUUUGCUCCAAUAAAAUCGUACAAUUUUUAACAUGGUUCAGCAUCUCUUUUAACAACUCUGCAUGGAGAAGAGAAGACCAUAAGACUGGAGGCACAGAGAACCGCUAGAGUGUCUUGAGCCAUCAUUCAAGAGGAAAAGGACAAGGCGUAAGCUCAAGUAGAGGAGGCAGAUCCGGAAAAGAGAAGAGUUUCCAGAGAUUCUGAGGUUGUGUAUCCAUAGCCCAGUUUGGUUUCAGAGGCUAGGGAAAAGGAGGAGUCAAGGACAACCCUGGGGUUUCUCUUGGAACCAGUGGAAGGAUGGUCAUGCCAUUUUCUAAGAUCCAUCAUGAAGGAAGAAGAACACUGAGGGCAGGGUAGGGGUGCUACAGCCCUUUAAUUUUGGAGGAGUUGCUUCUGAAGUAUUGCAAGAAUAUCCAAGUAGAAACACUAAGUGUGAUGUUGAACAUUGUAAGCCUGGGGCUCAGAAACCACCGUGUGUGGACCAUCAGCAUGUUGGUGAUGGAUGGAGCCACAGGC